rnacentral:rRNA from 1 species
AGCAGCCGCCGCGGUAACACGGAGGGCGCAAGCGUUAAUCGGAAUUACUGGGCGUAAAGCGCACGCAGGCGGUUUGUUAAGUCAGAUGUGAAAUCCCCGAGCUUAACUUGGGAACUGCAUUUGAAACUGGCAAGCUAGAGUCUUGUAGAGGGGGGUAGAAUUCCAGGUGUAGCGGUGAAAUGCGUAGAGAUCUGGAGGAAUACCGGUGGCGAAGGCGGCCCCCUGGACAAAGUCUGACGCUCAGGUGCGAAAGCGUGGGGAGCAAACAGGAUUAGAUACCCGUGUAGUCCCUGUCUCUUAUAC